AUGGGAGAGGCCUCCUCAGCGAGCCAGGCUGGGCAUGCAGGAGCCACCUCCACGGCCCCAACCCUUGCCUCCACCACGCCCCCGAAGGUCUUCCCGCUAGCCUCGCACUCUGCGGCCACAUCUGGCUCCACGGUGGCCCUGGGCUGCCUGGUCUCCAGCUACUUCCCAGAGCCGGUGACCGUGUCCUGGAACUCAGGCACGCUGACCAGCGGCGUGCACACCUUCCCAUCUGUCCGGCAGUCCUCGGGGCUCUACUCCCUCAGCAGCAUGGUGACCGUGCCUGCCAGCAGCUUGAAGAGCCAGACCUACAUCUGCAACGUAGCCCACCCGGCCAGCAGCACCAAGGUGGACAAGCAAAUCGUCAUAAAAGAGCCUUGCUGCUGCCCCAAAUGUCCAGAUUCUAAAUUCCUAGGAGGGCCUUCGGUCUUCAUCUUCCCCCCGAAUCCCAAGGACACCCUCAUGAUCUCCCGAACGCCCGAGGUCACCUGCGUGGUGGUGGACGUGAGCCAGGAGAACCCCGAUGUCAAGUUCAACUGGUACGUGGACGGGGUGGAGGCACACACAGCCACGACAAAGGCGAAGGAGAAGCAGGAUAACAGCACCUACCGCGUGGUCAGCGUCCUCCCCAUCCAGCACCAGGACUGGCGGAGGGGUAAGGAGUUCAAGUGUAAGGUCAACAACAGAGCCCUCCCAGCCCCCGUCGAGAGGACCAUCACCAAGGCCAAAGGAGAGCUUCAGGACCCAAAGGUGUACGUCCUGGCCCCACACCGAGAGGAGGUGACCAAGAACACGGUCAGUGUGACCUGCCUCGUCAAAGACUUCUACCCACCUGACAUCAACGUCGAGUGGCAGAGUAAUGAGGAGCCAGAGCCAGAGGUCAAGUACAGCACCACCCCAGCCCAGCUGGAUGGCGACGGGUCCUACUUCCUGUACAGCAAGCUCACUGUGGAGACGGACAGGUGGGAGCAGGGAGAGUCAUUCACGUGUGUGGUGAUGCACGAAGCUAUCCGCAAUACCUACAGGCAGAAGAGCAUCACCAAGUCUCCGGAGAUGGUCCUGGACGAGAGCUGUGCCGAGGCCCAGGACGGGGAGCUGGACGGGCUGUGGACCACCAUUUCCAUCUUCAUCACGCUCUUCCUGCUCAGCGUGUGUUACAGCGCCACCGUCACCCUCUUCAAGGUGAAAUGGAUCUUCUCCUCGGUGGUGGAGCUGAAGCGGACGAUCGUCCCUGACUAUAUGAACAUGAUCGGGCAGGGGGCCUAGGGUCACUCACCUCGGCGGGCGUCCAAGGCCACCCCAGACGUUAGCCAGCGUCCAGGUCCAGCAGCUCAUGCUGUGCAGACCUGUUCCUCUGCCUUCAGACCUCGCCAGACUCGGACCUACCACCCUCUGACCUUAUGGCCACCUUUGGCCUGCACCGCACCCUCUGGCCUUGCAGCCACUGCACGCUACAUCCUGCCCCUUGACUGCCAGCGGAGAAUGGAGUGAACAGGAGUUGAAACCCAAGCACAGCUGAUGGACCACGACUGGCCCCUGCAUAGCAGCCACCACAAAAGGCCAGGGCCAUGUGGACGCUGAGGCCUUGGGUCCAAGUGUCCCUUACCAGGACGGACCCAGGGUUGCAGUGUCAGUCACCCUGGGGAAGGUGGAGGGCCAGCCUUCCUGUGGCUGUCUGGGCAGGGACAGGCCUUCCUGUGAAUCACAUCCCUGCUGGGCUCCUGGAUGCAGGAGGAAACACCUGGUUUCAGAUCCUUGAGUGGGAGCAUCUGCC